UCUUCUACUCUUUUCUUUUUCAUUUUCUCUCAACACAACACAAACGUUUCUCUCAUCCUCUCUCACCGGUGCUCAUCCUCCACCAUCUACACCAUCUUUUCACGUCAAGAUCACCUGAAAACUCUUUAGGAAUCUCUAAGACAUCUUCAUCCAUUUUAUUUAAAAGUAGGCAACUAUCGUUUUGUGACAGCUUUUUGGUGGCUAGCAGUAGUUAGACUAAUUGUUGAUGGAGGUUGACUUUUGUGAUGGAGAGAAUUGUUAAUGUAUAACUUAGAGUAGGCUUGACCCAAUUCUUUUGUAUUAAAUAGUGGUUAUGCCUUUAUUUCCACUAAUGGGACAAGUUGAUGAUAUGUAAUUAUUUUUUCAGACCUCCAUUCUUUUGUGACCAAUGGUCAUUGUAUUUAUUGCAUAGAGCUCUGACUUACUUCGGGAUUGAA